rnacentral:rRNA from 1 species
AGCGAACGCUGGCGGCAGGCCUAACACAUGCAAGUCGAACGAACCCUUCGGGGUUAGUGGCGGACGGGUGAGUAACACGUGGGAACGUGCCUUUAGGUUCGGAAUAACUCAGGGUAACUUGUGCUAAUACCGAAUGUGCCCUUCGGGGGAAAGAUUUACCGCCUUUAGAGCGGCCCGCGUCUGAUUAGCUAGUUGGUGAGGUAAUGGCUCACCAAGGCUACGAUCAGUAGCUGGUCUGAGAGGAUGACCAGCCACAUUGGGACUGAGACACGGCCCAAACUCCUACGGGAGGCAGCAGUGGGGAAUCUUGCGCAAUGGGCGAAAGCCUGACGCAGCCAUGCCGCGUGGAUGAUGAAGGACUUAGGAUUGUAAAAUCCUUUCACCGGUGAAGAUAAUGACUGUAGCCGGAGAAGAAGCCCCGGCUAACUUCGUGCCAGCCGCCGCAGUAACAC